rnacentral:rRNA from 1 species
CCUACGGGAGGCUGCAGUGAGGAAUAUUGGUCAAUGGACGCAAGUCUGAACCAGCCAUGCCGCGUGCAGGAAGACGGCUCUAUGAGUUGUAAACUGCUUUUGUACGAGGGUAAACGCAGAUACGCGUAUCUUUCUGAAAGUAUCGUACGAAUCAGGAACGGCUAACUCCGUGCCAGCAGCCGCGGUAAAACGGAGGAUUCAAGCGUUAACCGGUCUUAUUGGGUUUAACGGGUGCGUAGGCGGUCUGUUAAGUUAGGGGUGAAAUCCCGAGGGUCAAAUUCGGGAUUGCCUCUGAUACUGUACGGAUAGAGAGUAGUUGAGGUAGGCGGAAUGUAUGGUGUAGCGGUGAAAUGCUUAGAGAUCAUACAGAACACCGGUUGCGAAGGCGGCUGACCAGGCUGCAUCUGACGUUGAGGCACGAAAGCGUGGGGAGCAAACAGGAUUAGAUACCCGAGUAGUC